rnacentral:lncRNA from 1 species
AGCACAUGGUGUCACACUUUCAGUUGUGUUUUUCUUUGACCUCUUUGACGAAGAUGACAACCCUUUAAAGAAAAAAGCCAAACAAAUUAGCAACGUGUCUCCCUUUUCUUGUUCUCUUCGAAGCAAUGAUUUUGCCGUGUCUUUCCUGGUACCAGUAACUGACCACACGUGUGAUCCCCUCUGCAUAUUUCUAGCAGGCAAUCUUUG